UAUCUACUCCCUCCGUCCGAAAAUACUUGUCGUAGAAAUGGAUAUAAAUGGAUGUAUUUAGAAUUAAAAUACAUCUAGAUACAUCCAUUCCUCGGACAAGUAUUUUCGGACGGAGGGAGUAUAUG
rfam:Triticum aestivum genome assembly, contig: Triticum_aestivum_CS42_TGACv1_scaffold_094508_2AL